rnacentral:rRNA from 1 species
GUGGGGAAUCUUCCGCAAUGGACGAAAGUCUGACGGAGCGACGCCGCGUGAGUGAAGAAGGCCUUCGGGUCGUAAAGCUCUGUCAUCAGGGACGAACGGCCGGUGGAGUGGAAAGCCACCGGAUUGACGGUACCUGAGAAGGAAGCCACGGCUAACUACGUGCCAGCAGCCGCGGUAAUACGUAGGUGGCAAGCGGUGUCCGGAAUUAUUGGGCGUAAAGCGCGCGCAGGUGGGAUCUUAAGUCCAUUUUGAAAGUUCUGAGCUCAACUCCGUGAUGGGAUGGAAACUGGGAUUCUUGAGUACCGGAGAGGAAAGCGGAAUUCCCCGUGUAGCGGUGAAAUGCGUAGAUAUGGGGAGGAACACCAGUGGCGAAGGCGGCUUUCUGGACGGUGUCUGACACUGAGGCGCGAAAGCCAGGGGAGCGAACGGGAUUAGAUACCCCGGUAGUCC